rnacentral:misc_RNA from 1 species
GAUAGUGUGCACAGCGAUGGUUUAAGACACCAUCUCCAAGAACUUUAAGACCCACUUCAUGGAGACACUUCACAAGAUCCUUAAGCUCAUCAAUACUUCCAUAUCUGGAAUUCAAAUUAUAUAAAUCCUUUGGCAUGUAACCUUCAGGUGACACAGAUUCCGUUGGUGGGGGCAACCAAAUCACAGUGAACCCAAGGGAAGAUAUUUCAGCAGCUUUGUUUUUGAGUUCCAUGUACCAUCUUCCAGAUUUAUGAGAUUCCCAGUUAAAGCCUUGGAGCACUAUUUCAAACCCUGUGCCUGACCCUGAACAAAUUUUAGUAGGAGUCUCUUGACGCUCAGACUCUGAAACAGCUUCCUCUGCAAAAGUAGGGAUGGAACUUCUGAAGAUACUGUAGGCUUCAGCAGCC